rnacentral:lncRNA from 9 species
GGAAUGUCACUGUAAUUGUCAGAGAAGUGGGGUAGCUGUGUUCUCAUGGCAGCACCUCUUAAGAAAGAAGACAGAAGAAGAGCAGACUUAGUUCCUGUGUGGCAGCCCCCGUGGUGGGAAUUCCCAGCCUUGACCAUGGCACACUGGAAGAGGAACAUGGGUAACAAGGAACAUUUCCUGAAACUUGUUGCCAUUUAUAAGCAUACCAAAUGAGAAAGAAGAGGCGCUACUAGUAUGGAACUGGGGCAACAUCACAAAAUCAACAAGGAAAGCAUCUGAAAUAUCUGUAAAGGAAAAGGAAAAGGGAAGGAGGACAAUUCUUUACCAAGUUCAGUAAUACAAUAUGAAAGAGGGGCCAAAAAUUCAUAUUGAACAGGAACAAAAAUGUCUCUGAACCCCAAAAAAGUCAGCCUACAAGAACAAAUUGAGAAAAUACUAAAGCUGGAACUAGAUCAAUAAGAUUCAGAAUGGGUUCUAGAUGCCGUCGUUUUUCUGUCAAGAGGCAUUAAAAGAAGAGAGUGAAUACUGUAGUGGACCUCCCAAGGCUCCUGCUUAGGACCAACGCUCUGGUUUCAGUUGUCAGAAGCACUGACUGCUGGUAGGCUGGCUGCAAACACAGUCAUCCCUGGAAAUCUCCCUCAGACAGAGAGCUGCCUCACCCAAGUGAGGCCCCUUCCUGAAGGACUGACAGAGACUGUUGCCAUCUGCAUUGAAGUGCAACUUCUUCCCUUGCCUCUUCCUAAUUUUCUCACUUCCACUCUUCCUCACAGCAUUCCCAAGUAAACUUCCUUCAUGUGAAUCUUGUCACCUCAGAGUAUGUUUUGCAGGGAACCAGAACAACGAUACCUCCCUCUUUACUCCUACCUGUGUCUUGGAACAUACACAGACUACAUGUUAACUCCAUGCACGGUUAAUUGCCAAAUGACUCACAGACCGUGCGACGUCAUCAUCAGGCUGCCUGGAGAGGAUGGGAAGGAUAAAACUUCUCACAAGUUAAUGGAGACAUAGACUCUUCUACUUUCUCAAUUGAAUUCAUUUCUCACAAAUGUCACCUGUAGUUAUUUAGAUCCAAGAAAACGUCAAAAAUGGAACUACAUAUUUGUAUGUAACAAAUGAUAGUUGGUCUUUAUUAUGACAUUUAUUCACACUUGUACGUAGAAAUGGGAAAUUGUCUCAAGGUUACAUAACUCAUGAGCUGGUACUCUUCAUCUCUUUCAUGAAGACAGAUGUUUUGGGAGACUAGAAGCCAUGUAUCUCUGUUGUACCAGGUGCUGCAUAUCACCUUGUUUUAGUUAUACAUUAGAAUACUAUUGAAAACUCAUGACUCAAAUUGAUUUUGAUUUCUAAGAAAUGAUGAGGAGAACCUAAAAUUUAACCCAUUCAUUUUACCAUAAUUGAGUAUUUCUCAGAAUUUAAGCUCUUUCUCAUUAUCAGUUGUCUAUAUUUACAGGUUGUAAAACUUGAAAUACACAAGAUUUUCACAGGUGUAGGUACAAAACAGGCCAAAUUAUAAAACCAAAAGAGUUUAAAUGAACCUAUGUAAUUUAAGGUAAAUAUUAUUACCUGUUUUACCUUGGUAGUGUAUAUUGUGUGUAUUGUACAUUCCACUUUUAUAUCUCUAUAAAGACAAUAUCUUUCCUACAUAUUAAUGUAGGUAAAUAGCUAAUGUUAUACAGAGUUCAGGAGGAAUUAGAUUAUUAGAUUUCCUCCCUUGUGGAUUGUCUUAAUCUGCUGAGGCUGCUAUAACAAAUACCAUGGAAUGGGUAUCUUAAAUAAUAGAAACUGAUUUCUCACAAUUCUGGAAGGCCGCAAUCAGGGUGCCAACAUGGCUGGGUUGUGGGUUGUGCCCUUUUAUUGGUUUGUAAACAGUAUCUUCUUUUUGGAUCUUCACAUGAUGGGGGGGCAGGAAGCAAACUCUUUGUGUCUCUUGGGGUUUUUUUUGUUUGUGUUUGUUUUUGUUUUUUGUUUCAUUUUUUUUUUGUUUUUUGGGUUUUUCUGUUUUUGAGGGCCGCAGGUGUGGCAUAUGGAAGUUCCCAGGCUAGGGAUCUGAGCCGUGUCUGCAACCUACACCACAGCUCACCACAACUGAGCAAGGCCAGUGAUUGAACCCACAUCUUCAUGGAUACUAGUUGGGUUCCUUACUGCUGAGCCACAGCAGGAACUCUCUUGUAAAAAAGGUGUUAAUCCCAUCAUGAGGGCUCUACCCCCAUGAGCUAAUUACUUCCCAAAGGUUCCAUCUCCAAAUAUCAUUACAUCCGCAUUAAGACUUCAACAAAGGAAUUUAGUGGGGAGACACAAAUAUUCAAUUCUUAUUUUUCACACCUAAUCAAAGAAGUACAAAUUAUGCAAUCAAAACUUAAAACUGAGUAGUUUAUAUUGUCCAUAGAAUUUUAAGAGUUUAAAUCAGAAUGGAGCUUGCAUUUACAAAACAGGUAACAAAGCCCUUUGUUACCAUCAUUUCAAAAUGUAGAUAAGAAUUGUAUUUCUUAUUGGCUGCUUUUAACUUUGUUGAAGGUACAUUAAAUUAUGUUAAUGCGUCAGUGGGGAUAUAUUUUGCCUUCACUUUACUACCCAUUGAACAAUUGCUUUAUUUUUACAGAAUUACAGAUAGGAAUGGAAAAUAGGCACCCCAUAAACUAGAGAAGUACUUGAGAGUAACCCCUUGGAAUAACCAAGGAAAGAAGAGCUAGAAAGAGUGGAGGUAUUAAAUUAUAGGAUAUUUUCAGAGAAAUACAAUGUUUGAAAAAACUGCAAGUGCCUGAGACAAUUCAAACUAAUCGAUGAACUACCAUAAUAGUGGUUCUUAUGAGAUUUGGUUUAAUGUCUAGAAGAAAAUUAUCUAAAAUUAGCAUAUCAGUUAUUUGCAGGUAAACAGAUGUUUUAUUUCUGCAGCUUGAGGGUGUUCAAAAACAAUUUGUUUACUGAAAUAACUUAUAAAUCUUCCUCCAGCAAUCUUAUUUUAUUUUAUGAAUUAACCUGGAUAUAUUAAUGCAAAGUUUGCAGAGUUCCUGUUGUGGCUCAGUGAGUUAAGAACCUGAUAUACCUUCUGUGAGAAUGUGGGUUCGAUCCCUGGCCUCGCUUGGUGGGUUAAGGAUCCAGCACUGCUAUGGCUAUGGCAUGGGCUGGCAGCUGCAGCUUUGAUCCGACCCCUAUGCUCCAGGUGUGGGCUUAGAAAAAUUAAUUAACUAACUAAUUAAAGCAAAGUUUGCCACACACUCCCCUCCUGGGUGCCGCACCUUCCAUUUAGCUAAGCCACAAAUCUGUACAUUUGUGGUAUUAACUGCUAGCCUUCUCCCUCAUCUUUGUUAUCUGAAAGACAAGAUUAUGCUUUUUCAUUUAAUAAGUGCUGCUUCUAUCAAAAUAAGUUUUGUCAUUAAAAUACUUAAAUAUUACUAUCAAAAUAUUUAAUCAUAAACAAGAUUUGAAAAGACUGUCUAAAUAGAAUAUGAUAUUUUCCCGACUAUAUUUUACAUCUUAUGAAUAGUUAUUUGAUCCAAUCUUAGCAUUGCCGGGAAUAGAGUUGUUCAGAAGCAGGGUGGACUCCUAACAGGGACAACAUCUCAAAACUUGUCCUUGACACUCGGCCAGGCACAUUUACCACCAGCAAUCCCUAAGACAGAACAAGGAAGAAGAAUCAUCACUACAGACAGUACGUUUGGUUAAGAGGAUAUGUUAAACAGAAAAAUGAUUUCUGUCUUCAAAAGAGUUAAAAAGGAGUUUCUUCUCAAAAUAGUUAUUAACAGUCUUAAACCUCAUUAAAUGUUUUCAAAUGAUUACAAAUUCUCAAUUUAAAACUGGGCAAGCCUUAAAGGUUUUUAUGGCUGUUUAGAAAAGGCAAUGAUCAGCUCAGUGUGUCUUCAUGUAGCUAAGUGACUCCUCAUAAUUAUUCAAAAGGAUGACCUGGUUCAGAACUUGGGCUCUGGAGCCAGAGCAUCUGAGUUCAAAUCUUGACCUCACUACUUCCUAGCUGUGUGACGUUGCCAUUAGGUCAGUGAGCCAUUUACCUUGUGCCUCAGAUUCCUCACCUAAUAAAUGGAGAUGAUUACAGUUACACCUACCUCACAGAGUUAUGAAGAUUCAAUGUAUUAAUACAUAUAAAGCAAUUGGAAUGAUGCUUAGCACAAAAUUACCUACCCAGUUUCAUCAGUUAAUUUUUCCAUAUAGAAGCUAACUUAUAAAUUCCCCCAACUUUGUGUCCUAGUUUAGAUUCUCAUAUAAUCCAUUAUGUCGACAUGUAAUGUUGUUAAAGCUUCCUACCAUUGAAAAAAUGUGUAUAUAACAUCUGGACAUCAAAAAAAUGAGGUGAUUUUGUUAAAAGUUUGGUACUGUAAAGAAUUGUGACCUACUUUCUUUUGGUUUGUGAAGAGCCCAGCCUUUCGUACCUGAAGUUUUUUAGAACAUAAGAAACAUCACACUGAGUUGCACAUUCUCUCUCUGAUAGUGGUACCUAGAAGGCAGCCCCAGGGAUAACCUAGCUUCCCUCCAUAUGACCAAACUAAAGCCUUCAGGAAGGUACACCAAUGAUGUUGUAUUCCUUCCCUUGGACCCAUCAGGCAUCUCUCAUUCAUUUACGCCAAUCUUUAAAUCACAUGCCAUUUUUAAUCUAUCCCAAUCUAGAUGGGUGAGAAGCUAAAUACAUGUCUAUUUCUUUUUAUAUCUAACCUGAAAAUUACACUUUUAAUCUUCACUAAGCACCUUUUUGUUCUAAUUCCAUAGAUAAGGAAAUAAAGUAUAAAGCCAUGGCGGAUAUUUUGACUUAAUUCCUAGAGAACUUUAUUAAUCUGAUAAAGCCUGUAGGGGUGUUUUUGUUUUUUUUUUUUUUUCUGAAAAUCCAGUUAUGCUCAUGAUUUUCCUUAUUCAGAUCAGUGAAUUCUUCACCUGACCAAUGAAAAUGCUAAGACAUUUGCAGUUCAUUAUAAGAGAAGAAAUGGAUAUUUCCUGAGCAUAGUUUCUUAUUUUAUUUGCUACAAAUUGUCUAUUUGUACAUCAAUAUACUCUGAUUAGUUUGUUUAUGCCCUUGAGAUGUUACAUAAUUAAGUAUAUAAAAUGACUUAUUUUUACUUCCUUAAGGUAUAUGAUAACUAGAUUCAUAAAUUUAAAUUUUAAAGACUCAGUUUCAUUUAACAUGGAUUCCAGUAUUCCUGUAAGUAAAUAAUAAAUAGUAUUUAAUACCUAUAGCUAUACUUUAUAUCUGCAAUGGAGGAAAGCUGGUUAACACCUUUCCAUUAAUUUUAAAGAUGUGUUUUUUUAAAGAUGUGGUUUUUUAUAUUCACAAUAUAAAACAAGCAGCCCAUCCACCACUUUUUUCCUUUACAUGCAUAAAUCAAAUAAAUAGAGCUUUAAUACAUAUUAUUUAAGCAGAGCAUUAUUAGGCCAUACAUUUUUUUUUCAAAAUCUUGUCUUGAAGAUAGUAUGACAAAAGUUAUAACUCUACAAUUAUACCUGAGGAAUUCACCAAGGAGAAAUGGAAAUAUAUGUCCACACAAAGACUUGCAUGUGAAUAUUCAUGGCAGUGUUGUUUUUUAUUAAACAGAAAGUAGAAACAAUCCAAUGUCCAUCAACUGGUUGAAUGGUGAAAAAAAAUAUGAUCUAUCCAAGCAACAGCACACCAUUCAGCAAUAAAAAGACCUGCUAUGUAGCACAGGGAACUCCAUUCAAUACUGUGCAAAGAAUCUGAAAAAGAUAUGUACAUGUAUAACUGAAUCACUUUGCUGUACACCUGAAACUAACACAACCUUGUAAAACAGCUGUACACUAAUAAAUUUUUUUAAAAUAGUAAUGAAGUGAUGAUACACGCUACAACAUAGAUAAGCCUGAAAAAUACUAUGCUAAAUGAAAAAGAGCCAUAUGCAAAAACCAUGUAUCACAUGAUUCCAUUUAUAAGAAAUGCCCAGAAAAGGGAGAUCUGUGAGAUAGAAAGUAGAUUAGUGAGUGGUUGUCUGGGCCAGGAGGUAAGAAUGAUAAGGGGUGACUGCAGAUGGGCCCAAGGGAUCUUUACGGGGUGCUGGAAAUAAUCUGGAAGGAGAUUGUAGUGAUGGUUGUUCAAGUCUGUACAUUUACUAAAAAAUGAUUAAAUGAUACAUUUAAAACAAGUAAAUGUGUGGUAUAUAAAUUACACCUCAAUAAAGCUGUUUAAAAAAAGAUAACAUGGAACAUCUGAAAAUGUCAAAGGGUCUGGCUGACUUUGUUUCCAUUAGCACAUGUACAGAUAGGCCUCAAAACUGCCCCCCCAAGGGCAGUAUACAGGUGAUUUUCAGUCACAUACUUGACCGAGCAGGAAAAAACACACAUGGAUUUCAAGUUUACAAUGUCCCAGUCCUAUUCUCUUCCCAGAUGUUGUGAUAAGAGUCAGUUGCCAAUAAGGAUAAAUAUAUUUUAUAUAGUUAGCUUAGAAAUGUGGUUUUUUAAGUAUGCCUAUAUCCUUGUAUAUUCAUAAACAAUUUUUGGAAGUUAUCUAGGAAACAUCAUAGUGGGUACAACUGGGAAAUGUAAGAGGAUUAAAUAGGGGGAAAAGGUUGUGGAUUCAUUCUUGUUAUUUGGUAGCUUUUUUUUUACUGUUUAAAUGCUUUAUUUGUUCAUGUACUACUUUGGUAAUUUAAAAAUGUUUAUAAAAAAGAAAUUUGUGGUUUUUUAUAAAAUGCUUAGUAUUAGUAAAAUUAUAAAUGAUGAAAUAGAUACUAUAGUAAUGAUGCCUAUAUAUGUAUACUUUCAGUAUUUUGUUAUUCAUGUCUUUUUAUACUUCCUGAGGAAAAAUGUUUUCAUUAAAAAAUUUCCUACAACAA